rnacentral:rRNA from 3 species
CGAAAGCCUGACGGAGCAAGACCGCGUGGGGGAAGAAGGCUCUUGGGUUGUAAACCCCUUUUCUCUGGGAAGAAAGUUGUGAAAGCAACCUGACGGUACCAGAGGAAUCAGCAUCGGCUAACUCCGUGCCAGCAGCCGCGGUAAGACGGAGGAUGCAAGCGUUAUCCGGAAUGAUUGGGCGUAAAGCGUCCGCAGGUGGCAGUUCAAGUCUGCUGUCAAAGACCGGGGCUUAACUUCGGAAAGGCAGUGGAAACUGAACAGCUAGAGUAUGGUAGGGGCAGAGGGAAUUCCUGGUGUAGCGGUGAAAUGCGUAGAGAUCAGGAAGAACAUCGGUGGCGAAGGCGCUCUGCUGGACCAUAACUGACACUCAGGGACGAAAGCUAGGGGAGCG